rnacentral:rRNA from 1 species
CUCAGAUUGAACGCUGGCGGCAGGCCUAACACAUGCAAGUCGAGCGGUAACAUUUCUAGCUUGCUAGAAGAUGACGAGCGGCGGACGGGUGAGUAAUGCUUGGGAACAUGCCUUGAGGUGGGGGACAACAGUUGGAAACGACUGCUAAUACCGCAUAAUGUCUACGGACCAAAGGGGGCUUCGGCUCUCGCCUUUAGAUUGGCCCAAGUGGGAUUAGCUAGUUGGUGAGGUAAUGGCUCACCAAGGCGACGAUCCCUAGCUGGUUUGAGAGGAUGAUCAGCCACACUGGGACUGAGACACGGCCCAGACUCCUACGGGAGGCAGCAGUGGGGAAUAUUGCACAAUGGGCGCAAGCCUGAUGCAGCCAUGCCGCGUGUGUGAAGAAGGCCUUCGGUUGUAAAGCACUUUCAGUCAGGAGGAAAGGUUAGUAGUUAAUACCUGCUAGCUGUGACGUUACUGACAGAGAAGCAGGU